rnacentral:rRNA from 1 species
GACAAACGCUGGCGGCGUGCCUAAUACAUGCAAGUCGAGCGAAUCCUUCCUUCGGGAAGGGUUAGCGGCGGACGGGUGAGUAACACGUAGGCAACCUGCCUGCAAGCUUGGGAUAACCAACGGAAACGUUAGCUAAUACCGGAUACACAACGGAAUCGCAUGACUCUGUUGGGAAAGAGGGUUUCGGCUCUCGCUUACAGAUGGGCCUGCGGCGCAUUAGCUAGUUGGUGAGGUAACGGCUCACCAAGGCGACGAUGCGUAGCCGACCUGAGAGGGUGAUCGGCCACACUGGGACUGAGACACGGCCCAGACUCCUACGGGAGGCAGCAGUAGGGAAUCUUCCGCAAUGGACGAAAGUCUGACGGAGCAACGCCGCGUGAGUGAUGAAGGUUCUCGGAUCGUAAAGCUCUGUUGCCAGGGAAGAACAGUCAGGGGAGUAACUGCCCUUGGCGUGACGGUACCUGAGAAGAAAGCCCCGGCUAACUACGUGCCAGCAGCCGAC